rnacentral:rRNA from 1 species
AUGAGCGACCAGUCCCAGCCCGUCCGCACCGGCGACGUCUACCCGCCCUCCGCCGCCGCCCACGACGCGCGCCGCCAGCGCGACGAGGUCCUCACCACCCAUGAUGAUCAGCAGCAGAAACGCGAGCUCCGGGUCACCGAGACCGACGAGCCACACGCCGGGAGACGCGUCGUCACCGCAACCGCCGGCGGCCAGGUGAUGGCGCAGUUCACGGUGCCGGUGCCGGGCGCCGGCGUGGAGGAGGCGACGGACGCGGUGACCAUCGGCGAAGCUCUACAGGCCGCGGCGCAGACGUCGGCGGGCGAGAGGCCGGUGGACCUCGCGGACGCGGCAGCGGUGCAGGCCGCCGAGACGCGCGCGACCGGGCUGGGCGGCGUCGUGCCGGGCGGUGUGGCGGCCGCGGCACAGCAGGCCGCGGAGACCAACAUGAGGCCUGGCCUCGCGGAGGAGGAGAAGGUUCGGCUGAGGGACGUGCUGGGCAGCGCCGCAGCGGUGCUGCCGGCCAACAAGGUGGCCACGAGGGAGGACGCCGUUGCGGUGGCGACAGCUGCGAAGCGCAACGCCCCUGCGGGAGGCGGUGGAGGAGGCAAGGGCGUCGCCGACGCGGUGGCCGCGGCCGCCGAUAUGAACGAGAAGAGGAUGACGCGCACGCGGCAGGCUUAA